rnacentral:rRNA from 1 species
GUUCCUGUCCAACGUUAAUCGGGGCAGGGUGAGUCGACCCCUAAGGCGAGGCCGAAAGGCGUAGUCGAUGGGAAACAGGUUAAUAUUCCUGUACUUGGUGUUACUGCGAAGGGGGGACGGAGAAGGCUAUGUUGGCCGGGCGACGGUUGUCCCGGUUUAAGCGUGUAGGCUGGUUUUCCAGGCAAAUCCGGAAAAUCAAGGCUGAGGCGUGAUGACGAGGCACUACGGUGCUGAAGCGACAAAUGCCCUGCUUCCAGGAAAAGCCUCUAAGCAUCAGGUAACAUCAAAUCGUACCCCAAACCGACACAGGUGGUCAGGUAGAGAAUACCAAGGCGCUUGAGAGAACUCGGGUGAAGGAACUAGGCAAAAUGGUGCCGUAACUUCGGGAGAAGGCACGCUGAUAUGUAGGUGAAGCGACUUGCUCGUGGAGCUGAAAUCAGUCGAAGAUACCAGCUGGCUGCAACUGUUUAUUAAAAACACAGCACUGUGCAAACACGAAAGUGGACGUAUACGGUGUGACGCCUGCCCGGUGCCGGAAGGUUAAUUGAUGGGGUUAGCGGUAACGCGAAGCUCUUGAUCGAAGCCCCGGUAAACGGCGGCCGUAACUAUAACGGUCCUAAGGUAGCGAAAUUCCUUGUCGGGUAAGUUCCGACCUGCACGAAUGGCGUAAUGAUGGCCAGGCUGUCUCCACCCGAGACUCAGUGAAAUUGAACUCGCUGUGAAGAUGCAGUGUACCCGCGGCAAGACGGAAAGACCCCGUGAACCUUUACUAUAGCUUGACACUGAACAUUGAGCCUUGAUGUGUAGGAUAGGUGGGAGGCUUUGAAGUGUGGACGCCAGUCUGCAUGGAGCCGACCUUGAAAUACCACCCUUUAAUGUUUGAUGUUCUAACGUGGGCCCCUUACCGGGGUUGCGGACAGUGUCUGGUGGGUAGUUUGACUGGGGCGGUCUCCUCCUAAAGAGUAACGGAGGAGCACGAAGGUUGGCUAAUCCUGGUCGGACAUCAGGAGGUUAGUGCAAUGGCAUAAGCCAGCUUGACUGCGAGCGUGACGGCGCGAGCAGGUGCGAAAGCAGGUCAUAGUGAUCCGGUGGUUCUGAAUGGAAGGGCCAUCGCUCAACGGAUAAAAGGUACUCCGGGGAUAACAGGCUGAUACCGCCCAAGAGUUCAUAUCGACGGCGGUGUUUGGCACCUCGAUGUCGGCUCAUCACAUCCUGGGGCUGAAGUAGGUCCCAAGGGUAUGGCUGUUCGCCAUUUAAAGUGGUACGCGAGCUGGGUUUAGAACGUCGUGAGACAGUUCGGUCCCUAUCUGCCGUGGGCGCUGGAGAACUGAGGGGGGCUGCUCCUAGUACGAGAGGACCGGAGUGGACGCAUCACUGGUGUUCGGGUUGUCAUGCCAAUGGCACUGCCCGGUAGCUAAAUGCGGAAGAGAUAAGUGCUGAAAGCAUCUAAGCACGAAACUUGCCCCGAGAUGAGUUCUCCCUGACUCCUUGAGAGUCCUGAAGGAACGUUGAAGACGACGACGUUGAUAGGCCGGGUGUGUAAGCGCAGCGAUGCGUUGAGCUAACCGGUACUAAUGAACCGUGAGGCUUAACCUUACAACGCCGAAG